UACGUAGGGUGCAAGCGUUGUCCGGAAUUAUUGGGCGUAAAGAGCUCGUAGGCGGUCUGUCGCGUCUGCUGUGAAAACUCGGGGCUUAACCCCGGGCCUGCAGUGGGUACGGGCAGACUAGAGUGCGGUAGGGGGAGACUGGAAUUCCUGGUGUAGCGGUGAAAUGCGCAGAUAUCAGGAAGAACACCUAUGGCGAAGGCAGCUCUCUGGGACGGUACUGACGCUGAGACGCGAAAGCGUGGGGAGCGAACAGG
rnacentral:rRNA from 1 species